rnacentral:rRNA from 1 species
GACGAACGCUGGCGGCGUGCCUAACACAUGCAAGUCGAGCGGGGAUUUAAGUGGAAGUUCUUCGGAAUGGAGAUUUAAAUUCUAGCGGCGGACGGGUGAGUAACGCGUGAACAAUCUGUCCCGGACAGGGGGAUAACACUUGGAAACAGGUGCUAAUACCGCAUAAGACCACGGCCUCGCAUGGGGCUGAGGUAAAAGGAGCAAUCCGGUUCGGGGUGAGUUCGCGUCCGAUUAGCUAGUUGGUGAGGUAACGGCCCACCAAGGCGACGAUCGGUAGCCGGCCUGAGAGGGUGAACGGCCACAUUGGAACUGAGAGACGGUCCAAACUCCUACGGGAGGCAGCAGUGGGGAAUAUUGGGCAAUGGGCGAAAGCCUGACCCAGCAACGCCGCGUGAGGGAAGAAGGUUUUCGGAUUGUAAACCUCUGUCCUAUGGGACGAAGGAAGUGACAGUACCAUAGGAGGAAGCCCCGGCUAACUACGUG